AUAUCAGUCAUGCAUAGCAUAUCAAUAAGCGGAGGAAAAGAAACUAACAAGGAUUCCCCUAGUAACGGCGAGUGAAGCGGGAAGAGCUCAAAUUUGAAAUCUUAAAAGGUUUUCCUUUUACGAAUUGUAGUUUAAAGAAGUGUUUUCUGUUAAAAUUUUAGUAAAAGUUCUUUGGAAUAGGACAUCAUAGAGGGUGAGAAUCCCGUAUUUGACUAGAAUUUUUUAACUUUGUGAUACACUUUCAAAGAGUCGGAUUGUUUGGGAAUGCAGUCCAAAAUGGGUGGUAAAUUUCAUCUAAAGCUAAAUAUUGGCGAGAGACCGAUAGCGAACAAGUACCGUGAGGGAAAGAUGAAAAGAACUUUGAAAAGAGAGUUAAAUAGUACGUGAAAUUGUCAAAAGGGAAGCGUUUGGCACCAGUGUUGUUUUUCUAAAAAUCAAUUUAAAAUUUACUUAUGUUAAGUAUUUUUAGACUUUAUCAGCUAUAUAUUUAAUUUUUUGUAAUUUUUGAAUGCACUUUUUAGUUAACAAGUCAACAUCAAUUUCUUUUGUUGUAAAAAAAUAAGAGGAAGGUGGCUUGGAAUUCAUUUUCAAGUGUUUAUAGCCUUGUGCCUCUGCAAUCAGAGAGAUUGAGGUCUGCAGCGUAGAUCCUUCGGGGUUAGAUACGUUUGUGCUAAGUUAUAGCUUUUCAUAGACAACUUGUUGACUAUGUUUAGUCUUGUAGCUUACUCGCUGACGCUAUUUUACCUACGCUUAGGAUGUUGACACACGCGCGUGCUCG
rnacentral:rRNA from 1 species